rnacentral:rRNA from 1 species
CCUACGGGGGGCAGCAGUGGGGAAUAUUGCACAAUGGGGGAAACCCUGAUGCAGCGACGCCGCGUGAAGGAUGAAGUAUUUCGGUAUGUAAACUUCUAUCAGCAGGGAAGAAAAUGACGGUACCUGACUAAGAAGCCCCGGCUAACUACGUGCCAGCAGCCGCGGUAAUACGUAGGGGGCAAGCGUUAUCCGGAUUUACUGGGUGUAAAGGGAGCGUAGACGGUAUGGCAAGUCUGAUGUGAAAACCCGGGGCCCAACCCCGGGACUGCUCUUGGAACUGCGUGGCUGGAGUGCAGGAGGGGCAG